rnacentral:rRNA from 1 species
AUACGGAGGAUCCGAGCGUUAUCCGGAUUUAUUGGGUUUAAAGGGAGCGUAGGUGGGAUAUUAAGGCAGUUGUGAAAGUUUGCGGCUCAACCGUAAAAUUGCAGUUGAUACUGGCUGGCUUGAGUACAGUAGAGGUGGGCGGAAUUCGUGGUGUAGUGGUGAAAUGAUUAGAUAUCACGAAGAACUCCGAUUGCGAAGGCAGCUCACUGGACUGCAACUGACACUGAUGCUCGAAAGUGUGGGUAUCAAACAGGAUUAGAUACCCUGGUAGUCCACACAGUAAACGAUGAAUACUCGCUGUUUGCGAUAUACAGUAAGCGGCCAAGCGAAAGCAUUAAGUAUUCCACCUGGGGAGUACGCCGGCAACGGUGAAACUCAAAUGAAUUGGCGGGG